UAGGCGCACGGGUGAGUAACACGUGAAUUAUCUACCUCCGAGUGGGGAAUAACUGAGAGAAAUCUUAGCUAAUACCGCAUAACACUUACGAGUCAAAGCAGCAAUGCGCUUGGAGAGGAGUUCGCGGCCGAUUAGUUAGUUGGCGGGGUAAUGGCCCACCAAGACGAUGAUCGGUAUCCGGCCUGAGAGGGCGCACGGACACACUGGAACUGAAAUACGGUCCAG
rnacentral:rRNA from 1 species